AAUAAGUGCAGUUUUGCACUAUUUAUGUUCAACGUUUGACCGUCCGUCUUAUUUGAAAAUUUUUUAUGAUUAUUAUUUUUAUUGCUAUUAGAUGAUAAAACAUGAAUAAUACUUUAUGUGUGACUAAAUGUUUUUAAUUUUUUCACAAAUUUUUCAAAUAAGACGGACGGUCAAACGUUGAACGUGAAUAGUGCAAAACUGCACUUAUU
rnacentral:pre_miRNA from 1 species